rnacentral:tRNA from 1 species
AAGAAAGGUAAUUUAAAAUAAAAUAUCUUUAUUGCAUAAAGAAAAUAAUAAUUUUCCUUUUUUGC